GAAAACAGGAGCGCCUGGUUUCACUUAAAUGUAUUAUAUUUUUCAAUUCAGAAAGAUGAAAAAAAGGGGAGAGGGAGAACCUAAACCAAGAACAUUAUCCCCUCAACUAAGCCACCUUGUGAAGAAGGCACUUGCUUCCCCUUUACCUUUCACCAUGAUUGAACGUUUCCUGAGACAUUCCCAGCCAUAGAGAACUGAACUACUCACAUCUAUUGCAAUAUCCACCAAAUUAUAGUAAAGAAUGGCAAGGAUUAUGGCAGGAUUGUAGCCACCAUUGAAACAAGAUUAAUCUAGCUUUCAUUGGAGAUCAAUUUGUAAUGAGAAAAGAUAAAAGGAAAGAAAAAAAUGCAACAAGAAAGGCAAAUGUGCGGAG
rnacentral:lncRNA from 10 species